rnacentral:ncRNA from 1 species
UUACACAUAACAAUGCAAACAUAAACACACACAACACAAUGGAAAAACUCUCUUCGCUUCGACUGUUACGCUUAUCGCCCCCGUUGCGAGCAUAGUUUCAUCGUAUUGAAGAAAGUUCACUAUCCACUUUGCCCGCACGCUUACCUUGCGGGCUUUUUUUAUUCUGC